GGCCUGUUGGUCUAGUGGUAUGAUUCUCGCUUUGGGUGCGAGAGGUCCCGGGUUCAAUUCACGGACGGGCCC
rnacentral:tRNA from 1 species